UACAGAGGGGGCAAGCGUUGUUCGGAAUUACUGGGCGUAAAGGGCGCGUAGGCGGCCUUCUAAGUCGAACGUGAAAUCCCCGGGCUCAACCCGGGAACUGCGUCCGAUACUGGAAGGCUUGAAUCCGGGAGAGGGAUGCGGAAUUCCAGGUGUAGCGGUGAAAUGCGUAGAGAUGUGGAGGAACACCAGUGGCGAAGGCGACUCUUUGGCCUGUAACUGACGCUGAGGCGCGAAAGCGUGGGGAGCAAACAGG
rnacentral:rRNA from 1 species